rnacentral:rRNA from 1 species
UAUACAGGCAAAUCCGUAUAACAAUACUCCGAGAACUGAAAGGCUUUUUGAAGUCUUCGGAUGGAUAGAAGAACCCCUGAUGCCGUCGAGCCAAGAAAAGUUUCUAAGUUUAGCUAAUGUUGCCCGUACCGUAAACCGACACAGGUGGGUGGGAUGAGUAUUCUAAGGCGCGUGGAAGAACUCUCUUUAAGGAACUCUGCAAAAUAGCACCGUAUCUUCGGUAUAAGGUGUGGUUCGCUUCGUAUUAGGAUUUACUCCGAAAGCGAAGAAACUUACAACAAAGAGUCCCUCCCGACUGUUUACCAAAAACACAGCACUCUGCUAACUCGUAAGAGGAUGUAUAGGGUGUGACGCCUGCCCGGUGCUCGAAGGUUAAUUGAUGGGGUUAGCAUUAGCGAAGCUCUUGAUCGAAGCCCGAGUAAACGGCGGCCGUAACUAUAACGGUCCUAAGGUAGCGAAAUUCCUUGUCGGUUAAAUACCGACCUGCAUGAAUGGCGUAACGAGAUGGGAGCUGUCUCAAAGAGGGAUCCAGUGAAAUUGUAGUGGAGGUGAAAAUUCCUCCUACCCGCGGCAAGACGGAAAGACCCCGUGGACCUUUACUACAGCUUGACACUGCUAUUUGGAUAAGAAUGUGCAGGAUAGGUGGGAGGCUUUGAGUAUAUGACGCCAGUUGUAUAUGAGCCAUUGUUGAGAUACCACUCUUUCUUAUUUGGGUAGCUAACCAGCUUGAGUUAUCCUCAAGUGGGACAAUGUCUGGUGGGUAGUUUGACUGGGGCGGUCGCCUCCCAAAUAAUAACGGAGGCUUACAAAGGUUGGCUCAGAACGGUUGGAAAUCGUUCGUAGAGUAUAAAGGUAUAAGCCAGCUUAACUGCAAGACAUACAAGUCAAGCAGAGACGAAAGUCGGUCUUAGUGAUCCGGUGGUUCUGUGUGGAAGGGCCAUCGCUCAAAGGAUAAAAGGUACCCCGGGGAUAACAGGCUGAUCUCCCCCAAGAGCUCACAUCGACGGGGAGGUUUGGCACCUCGAUGUCGGCUCAUCGCAUCCUGGGGCUGGAGCAGGUCCCAAGGGUAUGGCUGUUCGCCAUUUAAAGCGGUACGCGAGCUGGGUUCAGAACGUCGUGAGACAGUUCGGUCCCUAUCUGCCGUGGGCGUAAGAAGAUUGAAGAGAUUUGACCCUAGUACGAGAGGACCGGGUUGAACAAACCACUGGUGUAGCUGUUGUUCUGCCAAGAGCAUCGCAGCGUAGCUAAGUUUGGAAAGGAUAAACGCUGAAAGCAUCUAAGCGUGAAGCCAACUCUAAGAUGAAUCUUCUCUAAGCUCUCUAGAAGACUACUAGUUUGAUAGGCUGGGUGUGUAAUGGAUGAAAGUCCUUUAGCUGACCAGUACUAAUAGAGCGUUUGGCUUAUCUUUAAUAAAGCAU